GUGUUGUUGCCCUAGUGGUAAUAACCAAGUCUGUCAGUCAGUCAGUCAGUCAGUCAGGCUGACAUAAGCCUGUUCUAACCCUGUUUGUUUUUCCCUGCUUCCUGUUAGAAACCUGUGAGGUGUGGGCUAUUACCUUUGCAACUGGACUUGGACACCCUGCUCCCUCUACUGUUGUUUGUGAAUUCGGAUUAUUCAUCUCGAGACUGUGGCUCGAUUCCUAACCUUCCUAACUCCUACCUCUGUGAGUACUCUGGCCAUCUCAGGACUGAAUAUUGGACAAGCUUUCUGGAUAGCCUGACUCCCAAACCUAGUGGUAUGAUUCCCCAGAAUUACUCUGCUCAGUGAUCUAAUGGACCCGAAGAACCUACCAACCAUUGUUCCAGUGGAACUUCCCUUGUGUUUAUAAAUAAACCUUUGAAACUUG